GGAGAGGUGGCCGAGUGGCUUAAGGCGCACGCUUGGAAAGCGUGUGUACGUUAACCCGUACCGGGGGUUCGAAUCCCCCUCUCUCCGCCA
rnacentral:tRNA from 1 species